CUUCCCUCGGUCUGGGCUUCUCUGAGGCGGCGAGAGAUGGUCAGGUCUGGAGCUCGACCGGGCCAGGUGUUAUCUUCAGGAAGGCACACUGGACCUGCUAAAUUAACAAAUGGAAAGAAAGCGACCUAUUUAAGAAAAAUACCACGUUUUAAUGCAGAUUCUGGCUAUUCCAUCCAUUCUGAUUCAGAAAGUCAGGCUGAAACUGUACACGGGCUUGAUGGUUGUGCUUCUUUGCUGAGGGACAUUUUGAGAAAUGAAGAUUCAGGUUUUUUUUUUUUAAUUCUUUGCUGAUCACCUUAUCUCAAGUCAUUAUUUUGAUGUAACAAAUUUUUGUUUUAUUAAUAGGUUCAGAAACAGCAUAUUUAGAAAACAGAUCUAAUUCUAGACCUUUAGAAAGCAAAAGAUACGGAUCAAAAAAGAAAAGACAUGAAAAACAUACUAUUCCUUUGGUAGUCCAGAAAGAAACAUCAUCUUCAGAUAAUAAGAAACAGAUACCUAAUGAAGCUUCUGCUAGAAGUGAAAGAGACACAUCAGACCUAGAGCAAAACUGGUCAUUGCAAGAUCAUUAUAGAAUGUAUUCACCCAUAAUAUACCAAGCCCUCUGUGAGCACGUGCAGACUCAGAUGUCACUGAUGAAUGACUUGACUUCAAAGAACAUCCCUAAUGGAAUUCCUGCUGUACCAUGCCAUGCUCCCUCUCAUUCUGAAUCUCAGGCAACUCCUCAUUCUAGUUAUGGCUUAUGUACCUCCACCCCAGUCUGGUCACUUCAGCGGCCACCCUGCC
rnacentral:lncRNA from 1 species